rnacentral:lncRNA from 1 species
AAGUUUUUGGCGCCGUUGUCGAAGACUCGUGAUUUAACUUAUCUAGUAGUGUAAACUGAUUAAGUUUGACAUGAUUGUAUAUAUUUUAUCUUUUUAUCUUUUUUUUUUAUUUUUUUAUAAAAGUGCUACUAGGGUUUGUGUUUCUUGUGCAUGCAGCAGGAGACUAGACAUACUGGGAGCAAGAAAAAUACACAACCUCUUCUUGAAGGCUUAAGCGAGACAAGGGGAAGAAGGAGAGUCAGAC